UGCAUUCCACUGGGUACAUAAGACUACUUGUCAGGAAUCUACUUCGAGGAUAAUAGCAUAUCCAGAUUCCAAGCUCCCACAAGACGACCGGCACCUGGUUAAUUUUCGAGCAGGUAAAGGAGCUUUAGCUUAAAAUGACAGGAGAAUUGUACUGUUGUGCCAUUUCCAAGGAGCUGGGCCAUCCCUUCCACUUCCCUGGUCGUCUUCUAUAUUGGCCCAGGCAGGUGCUCAGAGCCGCCCUGUGCAAAGCGUGAUCCAAGGGACCAUGGCCGGAGCGAUGAUGGUACAAGGGGGACCAUUCCCUGGCUGCUGAUGCCCAUCAGCAUCCGAGUGUAAUCCAUUCAGAUCCAUACCAGAUUUCCCAACAACGUGAUGCGUGAAUCGAUCUCCAACCUGUGGCAAACACUAUUGAGUGUGUGUGUGUGGAAGAAUGACUCAUCCGCCACUAUACCGAUGUUUCCUCUGCAUCCCAAGUCUCUGAGGUUGAUUGAGUCCUUGAAUUCAGGUACAGUUGCCCUGCGACUAUAAACAACACCUUGACUUCUUUCGAGGAACAAGGACAAGAGAGUACAAAAGAAAAACAAAGAUGGGGAGAAGGCUAUGAAUAACAGGUACCUUGUUUUGAUAUAAAAUUAAAACAAAAAAUAAUAAAAAUAUUAAAAUGACAUGUUUAGAUAUCAAUAUUUGUUUGAUCCAUAAAUACUGCGCAGCUUCUUUCUCUCAUGUUAUAUUUAUCAGUCUUUUUUGUGCAAUGGUGUGCUGAGAUAAAACAAGAGCACACCAUAAUGGCCAUCAUGAUGGCACAUGUACUUUUGGGUGAGGCCUGGUUGAUUCAUCUGAUGAAAAGAGUGGGACCUGCAAAUCCAUCAAACAUCAUCUCCCCCGGUCACCAGUGGGCCUCAGAUUUAGCAGCAAACAACAGGAAGACUAGCUUCAAAUCAAAACUUUUGCCCUUGUGGGGGGAGGUUUAUAAUUGUACGUUCCAAGGUCAAGAUUCUCACACAGAUAUGUCUUUUAGUGCCCUCUUUUCUAUUCAUUUCACCCUUCACAUCUCCCCACAAAUGCUGGAUCAUUCAUGAGUGAGAAAACCCAGCUGAGUGCCAUCUAUCUACCCUCCUCAAAUGAUUGUUUGAUAUGGUUUGAUCUAUGUAUCAGAUGGAAUCUCAAGUCUUCACCUUUUAAAA